UACGGGGGGGGCAAGCGUUGUUCGGAAUUACUGGGCGUAAAGGGCUCGUAGGCGGCCAACUAAGUCAUACGUGAAAUCCCUCGGCUUAACCGGGGAACUGCGUCUGAUACUGGAUGGCUUGAGAUUGGGAGAGGGAUGCGGAAUUCCAGGUGUAGCGGUGAAAUGCGUAGAUAUCGGAAGGAACAUCAGUGGCGAAAGCGACUUCCUGGACCAGUACCGACGUUCAGGCACGAAAGCGUGGGGAGCAAACAGG
rnacentral:rRNA from 1 species